AGAAGCUGCAGCCGGAGGUGUCGCGAGCCGCAUCCAGAGCCGCUGACGAGGACCCGGGAUGUCGGAGCUGGAGAAGGCCGUGGUGGCCCUGAUUGACGUCUUCCAUCAGUAUUCUGGGAGGGAGGGGGACAAGCACAAGCUGAAGAAAUCCGAACUCAAGGAGCUCAUCAACAGCGAGCUUUCCCACUUCCUGGAGGAAAUCAAAGAGCAGGAGGUCGUGGACAAAGUCAUGGAGACACUGGACAGCGAUGGAGAUGGCGAGUGUGACUUCCAGGAAUUCAUGGCUUUUGUCGCCAUGGUUACCACUGCCUGCCACGAGUUCUUUGAACACGAGUGAACUGGAGAAAACCGACACGCAGUUCCUGCAGCGGAGACGUGCGCAUCGUGCAGGGCAGUGGAGGCAGGGCUUUGGCAGGACAGUAGGCGCUGAGCUUUCCGGCUGUGUUGUAGCUAAUUAGGAAGCUUGAUUUGCUUUGUGAAUGGAAAAUUUAAACCUCUUUCCAGGGGCAGUUUUUAGUGGCCCCCGUCAUUGCUCCUGCAAUACUGUGUAGACCCUUAGCCCAGAAAAAACAAACUGACCAGGAGCAUUGGGGUUUUCUUAAGCUUCCACUACAUUUAAAAAUACGAAGCCUUGUCCACUAUCCUUCGCAAAGGCUGCCCUUCGUUAAAUCUGUUCCUCACUGGGGCAAAUGAGACCUAUCAUGGGAGGGUGGCCUGACCAUCUGUGCCACCCACCCAAAGAGCGCGGCCACAUCUAGAUCCCUUCCCUGCGGUGUGCUGUGAUUGUUGCGCAUGUGAUGCUGCCAGUUCUGGGUGGAACAUCUGCCUCAGAAAGCAAGUGCUGACAUUAUCACUGUGAUUGGAACUGAGAAUGGAAAUUCUACCCUCGGUGGGGUUCUCCUCAGAGGAACACUCGCUGCCAGAUCUGGGGGGGCCACGUGGCUCAGGUGGCACGAGCGGGAGCAGGGGAGCUCAGGUGGGUCUCACGCUGCCUUGGAGACAGCUGUGCCCACCUCCUGCCCAGUCUGUAGAAGGAGGGCUUCCGGAAGAUGUGUCUGGUCCGCUGGAGAAGGUCGUUCCUGACCUGUGGAAUGUGAAGCCAGGGAGCCUAUUUAUGGCCUUUAUGCUUCUGUGUCCACAAAUUCAAAUACAUCAAGUUUCAAAUCAAAUAGUCAAGUUGCAAAUACUAGAAAUCACUUCCAAGAAAAUUCAAAUUACGCUUUCCACCCUUUUUCUGAUUUGCUGUUUUUAAGGACAGACUUGGGAGAUUCACGAACCAAUUGAUCGCUUGUAUUUGCAUUAAAUAAAAAGCAUUGUAACAAGUCUCCGAAGCUGUUAAACAUGAAAUAAAAGCUAAAUGCCUG
rnacentral:lncRNA from 1 species